GGACGGGACUGUGAUACAAUUAGAUGACCAGGACUUCAAAAUUCAAAAUAAGAAAAAACUUUGAUACAAUAACAUGAGCGGGACUUCAGAAUUCACACGCACAUACUUUAUAGAGAGGGAGAGAGAGCACACCCAGUGAGAGAAGCCAAUUUUCUAGCAGUUGCGGCCGAUGGUGAACGGCGAGCCCAGAUUGACAACAACAGAUGACAACAAUUAGGGUUUUGACAAGAAUCGCUACUGCCAUGACUUCAGCAGCAGCUACUUGUGGUGUUCGGUGUGGUCCAACUACGGCGAUGGCAGUUACAAGGCUUUCAGAUCCAGCGACGGCGUUAGAUGUAGCGGUGCUGGUGUUAGAUUAUGACGAACCCAUAAAUAGCAGCGGUGUAAUCAACAGAUCUGAUGACGGAUAGGACUCAAAACGAUUUUUCCGUUGACUGAGACAACACAAAACUCAAUAAAGUGUUCCCUCUUUUAGAUUUGCCACUAAUGAUUUUGUUUUGGCCGGUUAGGGUUUCCGAUUCCAUGGUGUUGCAGGUCCUCAUCAUUGGCGGACUUGAUGGUGGCUAGGCUUUCCUUAUGGUCAUUAUUGAUGACAUGAAUUUGGGUUUCAGGUUUGUAUCUUUUUUCGUCCUAUCGAAAGACGUGUUUAUUGAGCAAUUAAGGACAGACUUAUUUGGUAUGCUUCGAUUUCAUAUAUGUAUUUAUCAUAGUUUUUGGAUUUAAAGUUUCUAUUUUUUGUUGGGUUUGUGAUGUAUGUGUGUUGUUCAUAUUACCAGGUGUAGCUUUACUUUUGAUUUGGGUUUCAUUUUUGUUUCUUUUGCUUUGUUUAUGCUUCUGUACGGAAAAUUUGGUCAUAGUGUUUGUAGACUUUAUGCGGCAUAUUAAAUGUAUGCUUAUCAGGUGUUUGAUAAAAUGUUUGACUUAACUUCUGUGUACCCUUUGAUUCAUAUGAGUAUAUAUUAUUGGUUAUUAACUGUUAGGGUGAUGUUUAUCAUGCUCUUAAUAAUUGUGAACUGCAGGUUGAUUUGAAGCAUCUGAUGCUGGAUUUAGAUAGAUCUUUUUCUGGGUAAUCUUUAUUUACAGCUAACAUUGGUGUUUCACUUGCUUUUAAAGAUAACGUUUAUCAGAGUGUUGUUAUGAUCUCUACUAAGCUUGCUCCUCGAAUGGUCGGUAAUCAUGUUUGAGGCUAAUGGUAAAGCAAAACCCGGAGCAAAGAUGAUUGUUGUAGGUAUUCCUAUAAAGAUAAUGCCUGGAUAUAACGACCCUGCCAAUUUUUCUCUACCACAACAGGUUGUCACAAUUAAGUUGUUCAUGUCUAUAUGUUCAACCACAUUGUUUGUACUGGUUUCAAAAUGACGUCAAACAUUGCUUAAGCAGGUGAUCUUGCAUGUCUUUCUUAUGAAGGUCUUGAGGUUAGUUUAUGGGUACAAAUUAGGUAAUGAGUUUGGGUCAGAACAGGUUAUUUUUCUGCUGGUUCAAUGUUAUUGUUUUUGUUGUUUUUAUUUAUGUAUUUUUCAAGAUUCAAGAGGUUGCUGAUGGUUUAUUAGAGGCAAUGGAAAGAGGAUUUUUGGGGAAUUUGGUGGUUUAUGUGCCUAAAUUAUAGUUGCUGGUAUUGUUAUUAUUUUUUUUGGGUUCAUGUGUACUGGCGGAAGGUGGUUUUAGCAAUGAUGUUUCUUCUGGAGGUGAAGAGGAGUCACAUAAAUCUGACAAAUUUAGGAACAAUUGCAUGAACCACUCUUGUAUUUGGAGGUAGGCAAGCCGCUUCUUGUUUUAAUUCUAUGAAUUGUUUGAAAAUCAUGAUUUUACAAAGCUUUACAAAAAAGUGUAUUAUUUAAAAAAAAUGAUGUAUUUUUAUAGGUAAACAAUAUAGCAGAGUUACAACCGUUCUAUUUGUGUUAUU